rnacentral:rRNA from 1 species
GACGAACGCUUGCGGCGUGCUUAACACAUGCAAGUCGAACGGAAAGGCCCUGCUUUUGUGGGGUGCUCGAGUGGCGAACGGGUGAGUAACACGUGAGUAACCUGCCCUUGACUUUGGGAUAACUUCAGGAAACUGGGGCUAAUACCGGAUAGGAGCUCCUGCUGCAUGGUGGGGGUUGGAAAGUUUCGGCGGUUGGGGAUGGACUCGCGGCUUAUCAGCUUGUUGGUGGGGUAGUGGCUUACCAAGGCUUUGACGGGUAGCCGGCCUGAGAGGGUGACCGGCCACAUUGGGACUGAGAUACGGCCCAGACUCCUACGGGAGGCAGCAGUGGGGAAUAUUGCACAAUGGGCGGAAGCCUGAUGCAGCAACGCCGCGUGCGGGAUGACGGCCUUCGGGUUGUAAACCGCUUUCGCCUGUGACGAAGCGUGAGUGACGGUAAUGGGUAAAGAAGCACCGGCUAACUACGUGCCAGCAGCCGCGGUGAUACGUAGGGUGCGAGCGUUGUCCGGAUUUAUUGGGCGUAAGGGCUCGUAGGUGGUUGAUCGCGUCGGAAGUGUAAUCUUGGGGCUUAACCCUGAGCGUGCUUUCGAUACGGGUUGACUUGAGGAAGGUAGGGGAGAAUGGAAUUCCUGGUGGAGCGGUGGAAUGCGCAGAUAUCAGGAGGAACACCAGUGGCGAAGGCGGUUCUCUGGGCCUUUCCUGACGCUGAGGAGCGAAAGCGUGGGGAGCGAACAGGCUUAGAUACCCUGGUAGUCCACGCUGUAAACGGUGGGUACUAGGUGUGGGGUCCAUUCCACGGGUUCCGUGCCGUAGCUAACGCUUUAAGUACCCCGCCUGGGGAGUACGGCCGCAAGGCUAAAACUCAAAGGAAUUGACGGGGCCCCGCACAAGCGGCGGAGCAUGCGGAUUAAUUCGAUGCAACGCGUAGAACCUUACCUGGGUUUGACAUGGAUCGGGAGUGCUCAGAGAUGGGUGUGCCUCUUUUGGGGUCGGUUCACAGGUGGUGCAUGGCUGUCGUCAGCUCGUGUCGUGAGAUGUUGGGUUAAGUCCCGCAACGAGCGCAACCCUUGUUCACUGUUGCCAGCACGUUAUGGUGGGGACUCAGUGGAGACCGCCGGGGUCAACUCGGAGGAAGGUGGGGAUGACGUCAAGUCAUCAUGCCCCUUAUGUCCAGGGCUUCACGCAUGCUACAAUGGCUGGUACAGAGAGUGGCGAGCCUGUGAGGGUGAGCGAAUCUCGGAAAGCCGGUCUCAGUUCGGAUUGGGGUCUGCAACUCGACCUCAUGAAGUCGGAGUCGCUAGUAAUCGCAGAUCAGCAACGCUGCGGUGAAUACGUUCCCGGG